GUAUGUACUCCCGGUAGAGUUGUAAGAGUAGAAGCCUUUUGUAGCCAUGUUUCUUUUCACUUUGUCUUCAGCCAGCAGUUGGCCCAGGAUCCUUGCUGGUAGACAUGGGGACGUGUUCUGGGGGAGCGGUCCCCACCCUGGAGGUCCCUGAUCUCAGUGAUGUUCUCAGGGACUGAAAUCCACCUGCAUGUCAGCCACUGUAAACGACUAAUAACUGAUGGCCCUGGCAUCUGUGUAUGCUAUGAUCGAGGGGCUCUUUCAAUAUAAAUGAUCCAAAUUCUUUUAUAUUUAUAGCUAAAUUCAUAUUGUUUUUUUAAUUUCCAGAUAAUAAAAAUAUAACUACUCUUAUAACGUGUGUGUGGGGGGCUGGUGACUCAGGCUCAGAAGAUGAGCCCGAGACAGAAUUUGGUGCCAGGCAGGAGAGCUGCGAGGAGACGGCAGCACGCUGCCGGCAAAGAUGCUCUCGAGGAAUUUCUGGCUAUCGAUUGCGGUCGCUGCCCAUUUGGCCCCAGAAUGGACGUCAUGGUCCUACUUUUCAUUCUUCCAUAGUGGGUAUAGCUUUUCACCAUUGACUUCUUAUUUAAAAGUAUUUGUCUUAUGGAACACUGACAAGAAGGUCCUUUACACAGGUGCACUCCUAUUAGGCAUUUGUGGUGUUUGCACUGAAAACUUAGGGGUGAGGCCAAAAGCUAGGAGCCUGGGGGCUUUCUUUAGUUUACUUAAAAUUUUUAACUGUUCUGUUUUAUUUUUCUUGUUGCAUUUUGGGAGAAAGAGGAAAAACCAGUUUUAAAACUGGAAUUGGGCCGUUGCAAGUGUUUAUUUCCGCAAACGUUACCUGGAUGAUGAUGAUGUCUCAGGCAUCAUGCCACUGUAAGGAAUAGUGCACUUGUCCUUGGGAAGUUCACAGGGAACUUCCUGUGUUUGGAAGGGCAGACAGUUCUGAAAGAUAAUGUGAUAUCAACAUUUCUGUCUCCCAAGGGCCAAGUGUGUAUGAGGCUCUGGGCCAGGAUCAUUGUGUGAAUGAUCCCAUGUCAUCCUCUUACGAUCCAUGGGGGAGGUCCUAUUGUGAUCCCUGUUUUACAGAUGAGGAAAAUGAGGCACAGAGAGGUUAAGUAACUUGUCAAAGGUCGUACAGCAGGUAGGUGGCAGAGCCUGGAUUUGAAGCCAGACAGUUGAUCACAAAUUGCAUACUCUUAACUGCCCUGGUAUUAAACUAUACCAUGAGUGAAGCACUCUGGGAACACAGAUAACUCUGGGGCUUCUGUCUGCGGGUGUCCAGGGUGUGUUCAGGGAGGAGCCGAUAUUUAGCUGAGCCAGGAAGGGUUGGGGCUCCAGUGUUGGAUAAACAUGUAAGGUGGCUUUUUCUGCUAAUGACAGUAGAAGAAAAGUUUAAAACAGGGCCGUUUGCUCACAGCUAAAGACACAUUACAUUUUAAAGGACCCUGGUUAUUUUUCACCUUCUUAGAUCUCACCCCGCUGUCUUACGCAGUUAACGUUGGUGAGAAUGGCAUUCCUGCCCUACAUAGUAAGAUGUCACUUCUCAGACACGUAAUUUGGGGCAUAGAAUGAGUAAAAAUAUAACACUAAAAAGAUUAUUUCAUCAAGAUAUGCUGACCGGGGAUUUCACUUAUUGGUUCUGGAAGCCUCCCGAUAAGUCACAAAGAAAAUGCAUUCCGGAACUCUCUGACAGAGGUAGAAUUCACCCAAACGAUGCGGAGACAGGCUGUGGAAAACCCGGGCGCCCCUCCUGCCCUUGGGUGGCUUUUAGUUAGAAAAGCGUUUGUUUGGGGCUCCCUCGCACAGCCUUGCCUACAUCCUCCGGCAGCUGUCGGGGGAGGUGCUGCGUGCAUUCGGAGCCCCGAGAGGAGACUCAAGGCGCACGAAGUGGUCAGGGGUCCCGCGGAAAGGAAAGACGUGACUGAGCCUGGAAAGGCCGAGGAGAUGGAGGGAGAAGAGGGGCCAGCAGGGGCCACCAGACGGAGGCAGGAGUGGGCACCGGUGUGAGCGAGGGGACAGUCGGGCUGUCCUCCUGGAUGAGCGGUGGGAUUUUAUCUGCCUGAAAGCAGUGGCCAUGUUCUAGCCAUCUUUGUCCCCUUCCCUGUCCUCUCCUCUCCUCCCUCCCGUAUCCCAUGGCAUCUUACUGGUGCCUGUUACGGGCUGAAUUGUGUCUCACUGCAAAUUCAUAUGCUGACGUCCUAACCCCUGGUACCUUAGAAUGUGACUGUGUUUGGUGAUUAAGUUAAAAUGAGGUAAUUCCGGUGGACACUAACCCAAUAUGACUGGUGUCCUUGUAAGGAGAGGGGAUUAGGACACAGACACAUAUAGAGGAAACGCCAUGUGAGGACCCAGGGACAAGGCAGCCAUCUAUAAGCCAAGGAGAGAGGCCUUAGAAGAAACUAAACUUGCCAACAGCUUGAUCAGAGACUUCAAUAUUCUCUCCUGGAGGCAGACGAGGGCCUCUGAUGCACCGCGAAACUGGAAUUCUACCUGGAGACAAGCCCACAAAGGCUCCUAUCUGAUUGGAGAGAGCCCAGCUCCCCUCACUCUCCAAGGAAUUCGGAAUCCACACCCAUGGAGUCCCCACCAGAAAUGGGUGGCACAACUUCAGUCGGGAACACCUAAAUGGAGGACAGAGAAAGGCAGAGAACCCGAAGUGACUGAAGGAAAUCCCUGAGAACAGCCAAGUGAAUAACUGGGAGAUGAAACAGGAAGCUCUAUGACACACUUGAUCGAAAAUGACACAGACGUAGAAAAAUCAGGACUCCAGCACCUCUACCUGCUGUCGGCUGCUGGAAGGCAGGUGACAGCUUUGCCCUGGGACCUGAUUCUAGCUGCCGUGGACUCCAAGGGCCUCCGCAUUCGCUGAUGAUGUGUCUGCGAUAUUGAGGUCGUGGUCUAGUCUGGUCGGUUUCCUAUUUAUCUGGCGAGUCUCUAUGUGUCUUAAUCCCUUUUCCUCCAUUAAAAGCAAAAC
rnacentral:lncRNA from 1 species